GUUGCUACUUGGCCUUUUGACUAAGAUCAGGGGUAGCACCUGUUCUUUUCAGUUUAAUAUCUGAUAUGGCAUCUGAGGACUAUACUGUACAGUGGUACCUUGGUUCUUGAACGUAAUCCAUUCUGGGAGUCCGUUCAACUCCCGAAACCAUU